AACGAACGCUGGCGGCAUGCCUAACACAUGCAAGUCGAACGAGACCUUCGGGUCUAGUGGCGCACGGGUGCGUAACGCGUGGGAACCUGCCCUUAGGUUCGGAAUAACUCCCCGAAAGGGGUGCUAAUACCGGAUAAUGUCUUCGGACCAAAGAUUUAUCGCCUUUGGUUGGGCCCGCGUUGGAUUAGCUAGUUGGUAGGGUAAAAGCCUACCAAGGCGACGAUCCAUAGCUGGUCUGAGAGGAUGAUCAGCCACACUGGGACUGAGACACGGCCCAGACUCCUACGGGAGGCAGCAGUGGGGGAUAUUGGACAAUGGGCGAAAGCCUGAUCCAGCAAUGCCGCGUGAGUGAUGAAGGCCUUAGGGUUGUAAAGCUCUUUUACCCGGGAUGAUAAUGACAGUACCGGGAGAAUAAGCUCCGGCUAACUCCGUG
rnacentral:rRNA from 1 species